GACAGAGGAGCCAAGCGUUGUCCGGAUUGACUGGGCGUAAAGCGUCCGCAGGCGGCACGGCGCGUGGGGUGUGAAAGCGGGCGGCUUAACCGCCCGAGGCCACCUCAUACGGCCGGGCUCGAGCCCGGGAGAGGUCCGUGGAAUUGCCGGUGUAGUGGUGAAAUGCGUAGAGAUCGGCAGGAACACCAAGGGGGAAACCAGCGGACUGGUCCGGUGCUGACGCUCAGGGACGAAAGCGUGGGGAGCGAACGGG
rnacentral:rRNA from 1 species